rnacentral:tRNA from 1 species
GCCCUUGUGUCGGAAUUGGUAUACGAGACGCACUUAAAAUGCGUUGCCCGUAAGGGAUUGAGGGUUCGAGUCCCUCCAAGGGCA